AAGAAAUUGACAGUGGGCCGGGCUUGUCCAGGCCAGGAUUCGCCUGCACUUUUCUCCUCCGCAGUCUCUCUCCACUGCAGUGAGAGGAAGGAGCAUCGGCGGCGCCGCCGACCUCAAUCGGCUCCGUCGGCGGCAGCCACCCUCGACCUCGAAUCGAGCUUGUUGGCGGCGGUGUCUGAUCGGAAGGAGAGGGGAACAACCUGCCACCCCCCCUCUGCACCGUGUCACCGGCCAGGUAAUGGUCUCCCUCCUCCCUCCCUCCCUCCCGCGCCCGCCCAUCCCCGCCGCCCUCAGCUGCCCCUCCGGAUCCCUCCCUCCGGCCCCUCUCCUUCGGAUCCCGCGCCUCCGCCUCCUUCACUCACCGUCGACGGCGACGCCCUCCGCUGCUCCACUUAGGGCCCCCGCGUCCUUCAUCCGCGCGAGGGCGGGUCCGCUCUUCCCCGGCAUCAGCAGAUCUUCAUCAGCGACAGCGAGUUGCUGAAGUUCAAAUUGGGCAAUGGAUCUGGACACAGAGAAUCGUCUAGCUUCAUUACUCCUUGAAGAAGCACGGAGAUUACAGUUAGAGGCUGACAGGGAAGGUGUUCAUGCAUAUCUGCGAAAGCCCAAUGUUAGGCAUCGUCCAAACUCCCGUUUCCUCACAGCCACAGUUCGUGGAGUUCAACAAGCAAACCGUGUUGUGGAGGUUGAUGAAAUGUGGCGUGCCAGGGAGAAGGAACUUGAACUUGAGUCUAAGCUGAAAAGAAGAAAUAAAGAGCGUGGUGACUCUAGAGGGGAGAAACGCAAAGGUGACUCGAGAAAUAUGAGUUCCAACUCAAAGAUUGAAGAAGAAACCACUUAUAAUAGUUCUUACUCAGACCAGGAUGAUGGUCUAGGGGAUGAUGAAAUUGAAAAGUUUCUGCAUUCAAGGGUAAAGCGAGGAAGAGGUGCCGUUGGCUCUAGGAUGGAUGAACCUGGUCCAUACCUAAAGGCUUCAUCACAUUGUCGAGACGAAGAACCUAGCCCGGAUAUACGUUUGGAAGAAAAAUGGGAACGGCGAGUACAAGGUCCGGAGAGGCCACUGUUUUUGAGAUCCAAGUCUCCUGAUGAUUGCUGGCAUAAGGAAACAUUGGACGAUAAGCCAUCCAGCUCUUCUGAACCACGCGGAAAAAAGGAAAAUAAAAAGGAGAGGAAAUCAGAGAAAAAAGAGAGAAAGGAGAGAAAAGAUAAGAAGAAAUCUAAGCAUCGGCACCGCCACCACCAUCACAAAAGCCGAAGAAGGGAGUGAUGUGCCUGGAAAUCCAUUUCUGCACCCGAGCUCAUCUGCACCCGAGCCGACGAAAAAAAUCAAAACAAAUUUUUUAUUUGGAAUUUUUUGAAUUUGUUUUGAAUUUUUUACGAAUUCUUAUCUAACCAGGUGCAGAUGAGCCUGGGCACCAAAACGCCCUAUUCGUGAUGUGCCCUAUUACUGAACUACAAUAUGUACACAAGAAAAGGUUCUGUUACUAAAAGAUGCUGCUACCUGCUGCUGUUACUUGUUCAUUGGAUACCUGUGUUGUAACUAAAACUCGGCCAGUGCGUACAAGGGGUUACGGUUGGCACUGUACCCCGUGUUUAAACAUGAUCAUAUUAUGUGUUA